AAGGGAAUUAAAAUGCUAUCACUGGAAAUAUUUUUUUUUUCAUUAACAAAUCAGUGUCUUAAAUUGCAAGCUAAAGUUUUAAAAACACUGCAGUAUUUUUUAUCAAAGAGGAGACAUUUAUUUUAUCAAUUAAACCCAUAACAAAACUCCCAUUAUACUGACACAGCAGUACCAAAAAGAGCAACCCCCCUUCCUGCAUACACACUAAUGCACACAUACAAACACACACUCCUUUUACCCAAAGCUGGCAGAAAAGACCCACAGAUCCAAAGGGAGGGGCCAAAGGAGCAACAAACCCAAAUAUCAACAUCAGAAAAAGAUAUCCCUCAGCAAAGCUGUAUUUGGAAGACAGUGUCAUGUUGUUAACAUGCUGGGUCCAUGGAACUACACAAUUACGUAGUAAAAAGAAACUAAAAGGAAGGGGUAGUGAAGAAGAUUUGAAACUAUCAUUUUAGGACUCUAUUUUCACUAAGCAGAGAUGUAGGAAAUAGUGAGGACUGUAGUAAAGAGAUCAAAUAUUCUUGGAAGAAGAUCUUUAUAUAAACAAUUGAAUCGUUCCUAUUUGGUUUUAUACAGAUUUUAUAAGCCCCGAAAUAACCCUUUUAAGCAUUUAAUUUCAUAACUAAUUAAUUUUCUGCAGCAAGGAACUACAACAAACUUGGAACAAUUUCCUUAAAUGAAGAGACAGCUGAUGGCUCAGGUUUCCCAACACUGCUCAUCCUCAGCCUCAGGAUUCAGUGACAAACUUCACCACUGAUGUCCCCAUGCAGCAGUCUCAGCAAGGCAACCACCUGCAUUUACCUUGAAAAAAUGGAAAAUAUAAUUCUGUCCCUACAAAGGGAGGCCAACAGCUUUAUGGUAAUACCAGCAGUAUGCCAGUCCUCAAAGUCAGGAGGAAGAAUCCAUUUAAAUGCCAGGACUAACUGAGGCUCUUCAAGACCCAUCUCUAUGACACGCAGCUUUCUGCGGCAGCUCUUCCAGCAGGCCGGCUGUGCUGCAGGGCCAGGAGGGCAGCUGUUCAUGAGGAGCACAGUCCCAGCACAAGGGCUCCUGCAGGAGCAUUCACACCUCCAGCCAACGCCGUUGGCAUCGGCGCUGCCAGCAGGAUCCGGCAGAUUUCCGCUCCUUCCAACUCCUAUCGUGUGA
rnacentral:lncRNA from 1 species